UACGGAGGAUCCAAGCGUUAUCCGGAAUCAUUGGGUUUAAAGGGUCCGUAGGCGGUUUAAUAAGUCAGUGGUGAAAGCCCAUCGCUCAACGGUGGAACGGCCAUUGAUACUGUUAAACUUGAAUUAUUAGGAAGUAACUAGAAUAUGUAGUGUAGCGGUGAAAUGCUUAGAUAUGACAUAGAACACCAAUUGCGAAGGCAGCUUACUACACAGUUAUUGACGCUGAGGCACGAAAGCGUGGGGAUCAAACAGG
rnacentral:rRNA from 1 species